rnacentral:rRNA from 1 species
GUCAUGGCUCGGGAUGAACGCUAGCGGCAGGCCUAACACAUGCAAGUCGAGGGGCAGCACGUUAAAGAGUUUACUCUUUAUGGUGGCGACCGGCGGACGGGUGCGUAACGCGUAUGCAACCUGCCUGACACAGGGGGAUAAUCCGAAGAAAUUUGGUCUAAUACCCCAUAAUACCGAUAUAGGCAUCUAUGUUGGUUGAAAGCUUUGGUGGUGUCAGAUGGGCAUGCGUUGUAUUAG